GAUUGCAUGCGCCGCUGUUGCUGCAUUUCCAGACUGUUGCCACCGGGAGAUUGACUGCGCUUGUCUGUCAUGUUGCUGGUGACGCCCAUGUCCAGGCCCGCUGCCGUCUCCUUCCCAAUCAAUCCAGGCAGUCCCUAUGGACGCAAACCGCCAAUCGGCAUCUCAUCGCCAAAGGACCGAUACUGGGAUUUACUCGGCCAAGCAUUGGCCGCCGAUCCCGUUGCCGCUACCGUUGCUGCUACUACUGCCUCUGGAGAGAGACAACGCCACGAGCUGAAGCAUCCUCUCCUCGCAAAGCCGGAUUUGCAACGCAGGCGCUAAGCUCGGAGCUGAGAGCGUCACAUUGGAGUCGGGUCUUCGGAAUUCAGGAACUUCAGCUCCCUCUUUCAGGGCCUCCAGGAGUGGUGGGUGUGGCCAGCGAACUGUUCUGCUCACCGCUUGGUCUCUGCCGCCACUGUUGCUGGCCUUGCUGCUGUUGUUGUUGCUGGCCUUGGUGAGCUAAAGCGCCCGAUGCGCUGUUGUUUUUUGUUGUAGAGGUUGGACCGCCAGUGUGGCGUCCAUUACAGCAGCAGAUGGAUCCAUCAGGAGCGAAGAGUCGCAGAUCCCUCGGUUGGAAAGGAGAGAUGGAUUUUCAAUCACGCCAGGAGAGACGAUUUAAAUACGCAGCCAACCAGCCAUCAUUAUUUUGUUAUUCAGUAGGUGUUUAGUUAAGUUAAUUUUACCAUUAUAUCUAUAAGCGCAUUUCCCUUUUUAUGUAACCUGUAACUUAGCCUUUA